CAGCAGCGGCGCAGGUAUUCCAAAAGCGUUUAAAAAAUGAACAGCCCGUACUGGACUGACGCCGAUCCGGGGCGAUACUUCCCCUACUGACAUGGCAUUUCCCCCGAUGCCAGGCCAGCCGAAGGCAUCCGUGGAACGCCUGCCUUCGCUUACUCCUAAAUGCUUUUGACCCGGUUUCCUCCCCCAGACUCCGG
rnacentral:sRNA from 1 species